UGGAUAAGGCAUGCAAGUCGAACGGUCCGCAAGGACAGUGGCAGACGAGGUAGUAACACGUACGAACGUACUUCCAAGUCGGGCAUAGCUCGCCGAAAGGCGGGGUAAUUCCCGAUAGUCCCUACGGGGUAAAGAUUUAUCGCUUGGAAAGCGGCGUGCGCAGUAUCAGCUUGUUGGUAGUGUAACGGACUACCAAGGCUACGACGCUUAGGGGAGCUGAGAGGCUGACCCCCACCGAUGGGACUGAGACACGGCCCAUACUCCUACGGGAGGCCGCAGUCGAGAAUCUUCCGCAAUGGACGAAAGUCUGACGGAGCGAUACAGCGUGAUGGAUGAAGUGCUUCGGUACGUAAACAUC
rnacentral:rRNA from 1 species